CGUAGGGAGCAAGCGUUGUUCGGAUUUACUGGGCGUAAAGGGCGCGUAGGCGGCAAAUUAAGUCAGCUGUGAAAUCUCCGAGCUUAACUCGGAACGGUCAGCUGAUACUGAUCUGCUAGAGUGCGGAAGGGGCAAUCGGAAUUCUUGGUGUAGCGGUGAAAUGCGUAGAUAUCAAGAGGAACACCUGAGGUGAAGACGGGUUGCUGGGCCGACACUGACGCUGAGUGCGCGAAAGCCAGGGGAGCAAACGGGAUUAGAUACCCCGGUAGUCCUGGCCUUAAACGAUGAAUACUUGGUGUCUGGAGUCUCUAUAGCUCCGGGUGCCGUCGCUAACGUUUUUAGUAUUCCGCCUGGGGAGUACGCACGCAAGUGUG
rnacentral:rRNA from 1 species